UCCGGAUUGUAGUCUGCAACCCGACUACAUGAAGCUGGAAUCGCUAGUAAUCGCGGAUCAGAAUGCCGCGGUGAAUACGUUCCCGGGUCUUGUACACACCGCCCGUCACACCAUGGGAGUCGGAAAUGCUCGAAGUCUGUGACCCAACCUGAGAGGGAGGGAGCAGCCGAAGGCAGGUCUGAUGACUGGGGUGAAGUCGUAACAAGGUACC
rnacentral:rRNA from 1 species